rnacentral:rRNA from 1 species
UACGAAGGGGGCUAGCGUUGUUCGGAGUUACUGGGCGUAAAGGGCGCGUAGGCGGCCCUCCAAGUCGGGCGUGAAAGCCCACGGCUCAACCGUGGAAUUGCGCUCGAGACUGAAGGGCUCGAGGAUGGGAGAGGAUGGUGGAAUUCCCAGUGUAGAGGUGAAAUUCGUAGAUAUUCGGAAGAACACCAGUGGCGAAGGCGGCUCACUGGACCGUUGUUGACGCUGAGGUGCGAAAGCGUGGGGAGCAAACAGG